rnacentral:hammerhead_ribozyme from 1 species
GCACUUCUGAAGUGUCUCACAAUAAGACGAAAUGGCCAUCCAGUGC